rnacentral:antisense_RNA from 1 species
GGGUCUUGCCAUGAAGGACAUUCAAGCAGUUCUGAGGAGAGGCCCAAGUGAAGAGGAACCAGUUGCCAGCACCACCCUGUCAGCUAUGUUAGGCCCCUGCCUAUAUAAACAAUUUGAUUAAAAACAUAUUUAAAAAUUCAUCAGUACAUGUGAGAUAUGAUGAUUUAUCAUUGAAGAUUUAGGAUGAUGAGCAGAGAAAGGCAAUCUGUUUUGUCUAUUGUCCAAUCAGUGCAUGUGAAGAUUCGUUACAGUAUCCAGAAAAGACUAAAAAAGACCAAGCCUGUUAAACAACUCCAUCAAAGAAAAACAAGGAAGCCAUCCAGCUUUGUUCUGGACUCAGCAGCUAAGAUGGCACGAGCUUCAUCGUAAAUCAUAGUUCUAUGUCAUGUCUACUGGAUGAAUCCAAUGUGGCUGGUCCCUUAAUA